CAGAGCUUCAUUCCAAAACUGCUGCAGAGUAAGCCUCAUAUUUGCUCUCCGUGGCCACUCUGCCUGCUUGGCUUUCAGUGGCCUGCAGACUUUAAAAGCAUCCACCACACACUCAGCUGUCUACUUUCUGUCUCCUUUCCUCCCCGCUGGUUGAUCUCAUGCCAGUCAAUUGCUGCUUUCUAAAGCCGCCAAGAGAAUCAGAAUGUUUGGAUUUAACUCUGGAUAACUUUCCUGCAGCGGUCAUCAUUACAUAAACUACCAGCGUUGCAGCUUUGCAUCCAAUGUGCUCACGAUGAGUCGGAAACAUGCACUGCAGGAACUGGAGUUCAACAGCACGCAGUGAGCAGCGAGGCGACCUGGAUCGAUUCAGCAGCCGUCCUCGUCUCUCUCUGAGAACAACCUGGUGCCAGUUCUAUGACGCUGGAUCACAUGGGGGGGCGGAGGACGCCGAAGUGGUUACCCCCCCCCCCCCCCCCCCCCCACACACACUUUGAGAAUCAUCUGCGUCUCAAUGAAACAAAGCGCCGGCUGAAAUUGGGAUUGUGAAGCUGUGAGUGUGUCUGGAGAUGGCGAGCGGGAGACUGAGGCAGCUCAGCCCUCGUGUGCCGUGGAUACGAACUCCACCUCGCUAUGGUUACUGGCAGCCAAACAGCAGUCAACAGUGCAGCGAACCGGAGGCGAUCCGUCGCCUGCCAGACCAAACUCCAUUUGAGCGAGCUCGUAUCUGCUCUGCAUCAACCCCUGCAGCACACGGCACAUUUUUCACCCUUAGGAUUGAAUUCUAUUUGCUCUCUACUGUUACGAGCCCCACACUGCUAAAUCAGCAGAUAUGCAGAACACUUGAAUCCAACAUUCAUGCUCCGCAUCCCCAAGUAAAUGUUUCCGAGGAAUGUUCUACUUCUUAGGCCCCACGAAUUUGAUUAUG
ensembl:lncRNA